GUGGGGAAUAUUGCACAAUGGGCGCAAGCCUGAUGCAGCCAUGCCGCGUGUAUGAAGAAGGCCUUCGGGUUGUAAAGUACUUUCAGCGGGGAGGAAGGUGUUGUGGUUAAUAACCACAGCAAUUGACGUUACCCGCAGAAGAAGCACCGGCUAACUCCGUGCCAGCAGCCGCGGUAAUACGGAGGGUGCAAGCGUUAAUCGGAAUUACUGGGCGUAAAGCGCACGCAGGCGGUCUGCCAAGUCGGAUGUGAAAUCCCCGGGCUCAACCUGGGAACUGCAUUCGAAACUGGCAGGCUAGAGUCUUGUAGAGGGGGGUAGAAUUCCAGGUGUAGCGGUGAAAUGCGUAGAGAUCUGGAGGAAUACCGGUGGCGAAGGCGGCCCCCUGGACAAAGACUGACGCUCAGGUGCGAAAGCGUGGGGAGCAAACAGGAUUAGAUACCCGUGUAGUCC
rnacentral:rRNA from 1 species